rnacentral:ncRNA from 1 species
CAACCUCAACUCAUAUGGGACUACCCCCUGAAUUUAAGCAUAUUAAUUAGGGGAGGAAAAGAAACUAACAAGGAUUUUCUUAGUAGCGGCGAGCGAAAAGAAAACAGUUCAGCACUAAGUCACUUUGUCUAUAUGGCAAAUGUGAGAUGCAGUGUAUGGAGCGUCAAUAUUCUAGUAUGAGAAAUUAAUGAUUUAAGUCCUUCUUAAAUGAGGCCAUUUACCCAUAGAGGGUGCCAGGCCCGUAUAACGUUAAUGAUUACUAGAUGAUGUUUCCAAAGAGUCGUGUUGCUUGAUAGUGCAGCACUAAGUGAGUGGUAAACUCCAUCUAAAACUAAAUAUAACCAUGAGACCGAUAGUAAACAAGUACCGUGAGGGAAAGUUGAAAAGAAGUCUGAAUAGAGAGUUAAACAGUACGUGAAACUGCUUAGAGGUUAAGCCCGAUGAACCUGAAUAUCCGUUAUGGAAAAUUCCUCAUUAAAAUUGUAAUAUUUAAAUAAUAUUAUUAAGAAUAAUGUGCAUUUUUUCCAUAUAAGGACAUUGUAAUCUAUUAGCAUAUCCCAAAUUUAUCAUAAAAUAUAACUUAUAGUUUAUUCCAAUUAAAUUGCUUGCAUUUUAACACAGAAUAAAUGUUAUUAAUUUGAUAAAGUGCUGAUAGAUUUAUAUUAUUACAGAGCGUUAAUUUUUCGGAAUUAUAUAAUGGCAUAAUUAUCAUUGAUUUUUGUGUUUAUUAUAUGCUCUUGUAUGAUUAACAAUGCGAAAGAUUCAGGAUACCUUCGGGACCCGUCUUGAAACACGGACCAAGGAG